rnacentral:ncRNA from 1 species
GGAGAAGUUCCCGGCGAGGGUGUAUGAUACUAGCACUUGCCAUGGAAGAAGCCGGUGCAAAUCCGGCGCGGUCGCGCCACUGUAAAUUGUCAUCCCGAAUCAAGAUGACAGUAAGUCAGACCUUCCUGCAAGCAACCCA